UACGUAUGGGGCAAGCGUUAUCCGGAUUUACUGGGUGUAAAGGGAGCGUAGGCGGCCUGGCAAGCCUGAUGUGAAAUACCGGGGCCCAACCCCGGGGCUGCAUUGGGAACUGCCAGGCUGGAGUGCCGGAGAGGCAGGCGGAAUUCCUAGUGUAGCGGUGAAAUGCGUAGAUAUUAGGAGGAACACCAGUGGCGAAGGCGGCCUGCUGGACGGUGACUGACGCUGAGGCUCGAAGGCGUGGGGAGCAAACAGG
rnacentral:rRNA from 1 species